rnacentral:rRNA from 1 species
GACGAACCGAGCGAACGUUAUUCGGAAUCACUGGGCUUAAAGGGCGCGUAGGCGGGCCGUCAAGUCAGGGGUGAAAGCCCCCAGCUCAACUGGGGAAGUGCCUUUGAUACUGACGGCCUCGAGGGAGAUAGGGGCGUGCGGAACUUCCGGUGGAGCGGUGAAAUGCGUAGAUAUCGGAAGGAACACCGGUGGCGAAAGCGGCGCGCUGGAUCUCUUCUGACGCUGAGGCGCGAAAGCCAGGGGAGCAAACGGG